UUGCUUCAACAGCACAUGUACUACAAAUUGGAACAGAUACAGAGAAGAUUAGUGUGGCCCUUGUGCAAGGAUGGCACACAAAUUCAUGAUGUGUUCCAUAUUAAA
ensembl:snRNA U6 U6 spliceosomal RNA